GUGGGGAAUUUUGGACAAUGGGCGCAAGCCUGAUCCAGCCAUUCCGCGUGAGUGAAGAAGGCCUUCGGGUUGUAAAGCUCUUUCGGCCGGGAAGAAAUCGCACGGGUUAAUACCCUGUGUGGAUGACGGUACUGGAAGAAGAAGCACCGGCUAACUACGUGCCAGCAGCCGCGGUAAUACGUAGGGUGCGAGCGUUAAUCGGAAUUACUGGGCGUAAAGGGUGCGCAGGCGGCGCCAUAAGACAGAUGUGAAAUCCCCGGGCUCAACCUGGGAACUGCGUUUGUGACUGUGGUGCUUGAGUGCGGCAGAGGGGGGUGGAAUUCCACGUGUAGCAGUGAAAUGCGUAGAGAUGUGGAGGAACACCGAUGGCGAAGGCAG
rnacentral:rRNA from 1 species